CCUACGGGAGGCAGCAGUGGGGAAUAUUGCACAAUGGGGGAAACCCUGAUGCAGCGACGCCGCGUGAGUGAAGAAGUAAUUCGUUAUGUACAGCUCUAUCAGCAGGGAAGAAUAUGACGGUACCUGUGUAAGAAGCCCCGGCUAACUACGUGCCAGCAGCCGCGGUAAUACGUAGGGGGCAAGCGUUAUCCGGAUUUACUGGGUGUAAAGGGAGCGUAGACGGCAGUGCAAGUCUGGAGUGAAAGGCGGGGGCUCAACCCCCGGACUGCUCUGGAAACUGUACGGCUGGAGUGCAGGAGAGGUAAGUGGAAUUCCUAGUGUAGCGGUGAAAUGAGUAGAGAUUAGGAGGAACACCAGUGGCGAAGGCGGUUUACUGGACUGUAACUGACGUUGAGGCUCGAAAGCGUGGGGAGCAAACAGGAUUAGAUACCCCAGUAGUC
rnacentral:rRNA from 1 species